rnacentral:tRNA from 1 species
AGGGAUGUGACUCAGUGGUAGAGCUCUUGCCUUGCAUGCAAAAGACCCUGGGAUCAAUCCCCAGCAUCACAA